AGGACGAACGCUGGCGGCGUGCUUAACACAUGCAAGUCGAGCGGUAAGGCCCUUUCGGGGGUACACGAGCGGCGAACGGGUGAGUAACACGUGGGUGACCUGCCCUUAGCUCUGGGAUAAGCCUGGGAAACUGGGUCUAAUACCGGAUAUGACCUCGCGAUGCAUGUCGUGGGGUGGAAAGCCUUGUGCGGCUAGGGAUGGGCCCGCGGCCUAUCAGCUUGUUGGUGGGGUGAUGGCCUACCAAGGCGACGACGGGUAGCCGGCCUGAGAGGGCGACCGGCCACACUGGGACUGAGACACGGCCCAGACUCCUACGGGAGGUAGCAGUGGGGAAUCUUGCGCAAUGGGCGAAAGCCUGACGCAGCGACGCCGCGUGAGGGAUGACGGCCUUCGGGUUGUAACCUCUUUCAGCCCUGACGAAGCGAAAGUGACGGUAGGGCAGAAGAGCACCGGCCAACUACGCGCCAGCAGCCGCGGUAA
rnacentral:rRNA from 1 species